UACAGAGGUCUCAAGCGUUGUUCGGAUUCAUUGGGCGUAAAGGGUGCGUAGGUGGCGAGGUUAGUCAGGUGUGAAAUCUCGGGGCUCAACCCCGAAACUGCACUUGAUACUGCCUUGCUAGAGUACUGGAGAGGAGAUUGGAAUUUACGGUGUAGCGGUGAAAUGCGCAGAUAUCAGGAAGAACACCCGUGGCGAAGGCGGCUCUCUGGGACGGUACUGACGCUGAGACGCGAAAGCGUGGGGAGCAAACAGG
rnacentral:rRNA from 1 species